rnacentral:rRNA from 1 species
GAUGAACGCUGGCGGCGUGCCUAAUACAUGCAAGUCGAGCGAAUGGAUUAAGAGCUUGCUCUUAUGAAGUUAGCGGCGGACGGGUGAGUAACACGUGGGUAACCUGCCCAUAAGACUGGGAUAACUCCGGGAAACCGGGGCUAAUACCGGAUAACAUUUUGAACCGCAUGGUUCGAAAUUGAAAGGCGGCUUCGGCUGUCACCUAUGGAUGGACCCGCGUCGCAUUAGCUAGUUGGGGAGGUAACGGCUCACCAAGGCAACGAUGCGUAGCCGACCUGAGAGGGUGAUCGGCCACACUGGGACUGAGACACGGCCCAGACUCCUACGGGAGGCAGCAGUAGGGAAUCUUCCGCAAUGGACGAAAGUCUGACGGAGCAACGCCGCGUGAGUGAUGAAGGCUUUCGGGUCGUAAAACACUGUUGUUAGGGAAGAACAAGUGCUAGUUGAAUAAGCUGGCACCUUGACGGUACCUAACCAGAAAGCCACGGCUAACUACGUGCCAGCCGCCGCCGUAA